rnacentral:rRNA from 1 species
AACGAACGCUGGCGGCAUGCCUAACACAUGCAAGUCGAACGAGACCUUCGGGUCUAGUGGCGCACGGGUGCGUAACGCGUGGGAACCUGCCCUUAGGUUCGGAAUAACUCCCCGAAAGGGGUGCUAAUACCGGAUAAUGUCUUCGGACCAAAGAUUUAUCGCCUUUGGAUGGGCCCGCGUUGGAUUAGCUAGUUGGUAGGGUAAAAGCCUACCAAGGCGACGAUCCAUAGCUUGUCUGGGAGGAUGAUCAGCCACACUUGGACUGAGACACGGCCCAGACUCCUACGGGAUGGAGGAAGGGGGGAUAUUGGAACACGGGGCGAAGGCUGAAGCAACAAUGGCCGGGUAAGGAUGAAAGGCGUAAGGUUGAAAAGGCUUUUUAACUAGGCAGGUCAUGACAGUACCGGGGGAAAAAGCCUCGGCUAACUCCGUG